rnacentral:rRNA from 1 species
CCUACGGGAGGCAGUAGUGAGGAAUAUUGGUCAAUGGGCGGGAGCCUGAACCAGCCAAGUCGCGUGAGGGAAGACGGUCCUAUGGAUUGUAAACCUCUUUAGGCGGGGAGCAAUGCCGGGCACGCGUGCCCGGAGGGAGAGUACCCGCAGAAUAAGCAUCGGCUAACUCCGUGCCAGCAGCCGCGGUAAUACGGAGGAUGCGAGCGUUAUCCGGAUUUAUUGGGUUUACAGGGUGCGUAGGCGGAUUUUUAAGUCAGCGGUACAAGGUCCGGGCUCAACCCGGGCCGGCCGUUGAAACUGGGGAUCUUGAGUGGGCGAGAAGUGUGCGGAAUGCGUGGGGUAGCGGUGAAAGGCAUAGAUAUCACGCAGAACUCCGAUUGCGAAGGCAGCAUACCGGCGCCCGACGGACGCUGAGGCACGAAAGCGUGGGGAUCGAACAGGAUUAGAUACCCUGGUAGUC